CAGAGGGGAGGAACCUGCGUGAGGGGCCUACAGAGACCCAAAGGCGGGGGGCGGGCAAGUUAAAAAGCCGGGCUGAUGAGACGGACGCUUUAACCUCGUCCUUUUGGGAAAUCCUCCUCGCCAAACUGCGCCCGCCAACAAAGCGAUUCCGGCUUAUGAAGGGUGUCUGACAUUGAGUUCUACUGUCUGUCUCUCCCCCUCACCCCCUAGCCUUACCUGAGGACUGACAGAAAAGGUGACUUGUGCAGGGCCCUGAAGCCAGUAGGCCUUAGAGGCACGACUUGAACCCAGACCUCUGUGAUAUUUUAUCCAUGUCAUGUUGCUUCUUAGUGUAAACUGAGACACGCACCGUAAGGAAUCUGGUUCUCUCUUUCCCCAAAGGGACGAUGUCCGGGGGGCCGCAAAGGCCAGCCCGGUGAGAACGAAAUACGUCUCUUCCGCAGAGGGGAAGAAGACCGUGGGGAGAAGGUGCCUGUGAAAUCAAAGGAAGGAGCGGGGAGAGGCAGUAGCUACAGUGUGGGCUAUACUGGUAAUAGCCUUGGGCCCUGGGGCAACCCAGAAAGCCUAGAAGUAUCGCCCAGGUUCGACACAUCCUGCUCACUGCUCCCCCCACCCCCAACUCCAGUAGCCUUGGGGAGAGAGAAAAGUGACCUCAUCAAGGCAGUACGAGGUAAAAAGCCAAUCUUCAAAGUUGGGUCUGUCCCAGUUGAACAGUAAACAGAGUUCAAACAACUUUCAGAUGACAUUCAAGAAUUGUAACAAACACUGAAUGGUUUUCUUCAAAAAUAAAAUGACCAUAUUGUUAUCAAAACCUGAAAACCUUUUCAGAAUUUAUAAACUUGGGGCUUAUGGAACUUAUGGGAUGUGUUUUCAUUUGUUCAAAUAAAUAGCCCUGGAAUAUUCUACUGUCAGUGAACAGAGUAGAAAGCUCCAACUCUUGACAAGCUUUAUCAGAAUCUGGGAUAGGGUUGGCAAGAGUCCCCUUUGAAACUGAAGCUGACACAGAUCAUUCUAAAAAGGGAGAUUAUCUAAACAGAGAAGCAAUUAACCCUAAGGACUGAUGUCAUUUUGAUUUGGGAAUAAGGUUAGAAUAUUUCCAAAUUGCAUCAAAGAAAGUGUGCCUCCAAGAUCAUCAAAAGUUUUUUCUCAAGCAACCAUAGGCAAGUAACAUUAUAAAAUAUAACAUGUUAAAAAUGGUGUCUUAACACAGAGUCAUGUGAUUUGGGGUACAUGAUGUCUACAUUCUGGACCUCAGUUUCCUUGUAAUAAAAUGAGUGUAAAA